AUUGAACGCUGGCGGCAGGCCUAACACAUGCAAGUCGAACGAGUGGCGGACGGGUGAGUAAUGUCUGGGAAACUGCCCGAUGGAGGGGGAUAACUACUGGAAACGGUAGCUAAUACCGCAUACCAUCGGAUGUGCCCAGCGGGGAUUAGCUGGUAGGUGGGGGAACGGCUCACCUAGGCGACGAUCCCUAGCUGGUCUGAGAGGCUGACGAGCCACACUGGAACUGAGACACGGUCCAGACUCCUACGGGAGGCAGAAGUGGGGAUUAUUGCACAAUGGGCGAAAGCCUGAUGCAGACAUGCCGCGGGUAGGAAGAAGGCCUUCGGGUGGUAAAGUACUUUCAGCGAGGAGGCGGUACUCGCAGAAGAAGCACCGGCUAACUCCGUGCCAGCCGCCGCGGUAAUAC
rnacentral:rRNA from 1 species